UGACUUUCAAGGGAAACAUACAAGCCAACCCUAGGAACAGAUGGGAGAGAGAAGCACUACCACAGGGGAAGGGCCAGUGCACCUUGAGAGGCUCCA
rnacentral:lncRNA from 1 species